rnacentral:lncRNA from 1 species
GCGGAGCCGUCGGUGGCGGCGGGCAGCGCCGUCCCGCUCCGCUCCACUCCCCUCACAGCGGCUCCGCCGCCCGGCCGCCCCGCCGUAACUCGACGGGGGGGGCAGCGCCCGCUCCACCUCCUCCUCCUCCUCCUCCUCCUCCGCGGCGGCGGGAAGCCGCGUUCCGCUCAGACGGGCGGCCCGCGUCGCCUCCGCAGCUUCCACUGCCUCCGCGGCGGGGGCCCGCCCGCUGCCCGCCGGCCUCGGACGGGGCCGUGCCGGUAUGGAGACCUAGAGGGUGAGCCGCCGAGGAGCUGUCACAGAAAGUGAAAGAUGAAGCCUCUUGUUCUCUUGGUUCUUGUGAUCUGUACUGUAGUCAGCAUGAAUUUGAAGCUCGUGUCAAAGAGAAAUUCUGUGCUUCGAAUGCCAUUGACUCAACACUGUGGUUAUUCCUAUGGCUCAGCAGUUCCAUCUUGUUUCAGCUGCUGAAGUUCAUCUCUCAUCUUUCUCUCUUCUUUGCUCAUUAAAGAGAAAGGAAGGAAGACGGUGAGUUGGAAUCCAUCAC